CACGUAGGGGGCGAGCGUUGUCCGGAUUUAUUGGGCGUAAAGAGCUCGUAGGCGGUUCGCUAAGUCGGGUGUGAAACCUCCAGGCUCAACCUGGAGACGCCACCUGAUACUGGCGUGACUAGAGUCCGGUAGGGGAGUGUGGAACUCCUGGUGUAGCGGUGAAAUGCGCAGAUAUCAGGAAGAACACCAGCGGCGAAGGCGGCACUCUGGGCCGGUACUGACGCUGAGGAGCGAAAGCGUGGGUAGCAAACAGG
rnacentral:rRNA from 1 species